GCUCCUCUAGCUCAGUGGUAGAGCGUGGGAUUGCAGUGCGUGCAAUCUAUCCUAAGGUCGUAAGUACAAUCGUACAUCAAUAUGCCAUUGGAAUAGGCGUUAACAGCAUUCGUAGACUCGUUCGAACCGGGUGGGGAGCU